UACGAAGGGGGCUAGCGUUGCUCGGAAUCACUGGGCGUAAAGGGUGCGUAGGCGGGGCUUUAAGUCAGAGGUGAAAUCCUGGAGCUCAACUCCAGAACUGCCUUUGAUACUGAGGAUCUUGAGUUCGGGAGAGGUGAGUGGAACUGCGAGUGUAGAGGUGAAAUUCGUAGAUAUUCGCAAGAACACCAGUGGCGAAGGCGGCUCACUGGCCCGAUACUGACGCUGAGGCACGAAAGCGUGGGGAGCAAACAGG
rnacentral:rRNA from 1 species